GCUGUCUAGGUUGGUGACUCUCUGCUGCCUGGCACCUAGUAGGUGCUUAAUAAAUGUCUGAAAAGGUGAGAGGGUGCACUUCUCUGUUUUAAAGCUGCCUCACCAGUGUCCUCUCUGAGGGCCAGGUAGCAAACUCACAGACUAGUUUUAGAAGAACUUUAUCAGCCUUCAUCUCAAACCACAUCAUUGGAGACUAUCGAAAAAAUACAGGAGACCAGGACCAAGUUCCCAGCCUUGGUCUGUAUACACCUUUUUCAAGUCACCUCCUAGUCAAAGGAAGAGAUUCUAUAAGCAGAGGUUUAGAGCCAAGACCCAGCAGCCAAAUCCUAAUUACACUGGGGGCCUGGUCAUGGAGCCCCAGUGCAGUAGCUAAAGAUCUGAGCAAUGGUGAAAAACAGAAAUACAAUCAAUGCAGCCACAGGGAUAGGUCUCAGUGGCCCCCAAGUCCAUCUUUGGGGUACAAACAAGCUCUGGAUUUAAAUAGGGCAAUCAAAGUGUCUGUGUGGGGGAGGGGUAUUCAGAAUUAGGUGUCAAAGUGUGGUCUGGCUGAUCCAAACAACAUCUUCCCAGACCACCGAGGAGACAGAAGUCUUAGGGAGUUUCCUAGGAUUACCAAGUCAUAAUGAUUCCACAAUAAAACACUUUAUCAUGCUGGGUCUAAACAUCCAAGAAAAGUGUCACUUGUGCGAGGGGAAGCUGGAAGCUGGAAGCUGGAAGGAGCCCGCUUCUCUAGAACCAGAACAAUUCCUGAGUCCGGUAAGAACUUUAGUACAUUGCCUCUUCUCAUCGAGCCUACAUCCAUUUCUCUAAAAUGGAAAGGGGAGUCCAGUGUAAUGGAGCAAUCUGUAAGGAACCUCCAUACAAGUGUGAAGGACUGAGUUUCAGCCUCAGACCCCAUAUAAAAGCUAGAUACAGUGACAUGUGCCUGCAAGAGCCCAGCAGAGAGGAGAAUUCCAGGGAUUUGCUGAUCAGCCUGUCUAGUGGAAGCAGUGAGCUGCAAGAUCAGUGAGAGACCCUGCCUCAAAAACAUAUGAUGGGAAAGGAUUGUGGAAGAUACCCAGCAUUGAUCUCUGGCCUCCAUGUUCAUGCUUGUGCAUACACAAACACACACACACACACACACACACACACCCCACACUCAUAAAUAUGCAGUGUUCUAAUUCUGAAGCCUCCGUUCUUCUAAAGGAUAAUAAAGUCUGGUGCAUUUGUUCUUAAUGAAAUUAACACCAGGUUAAAUAAUCAAAGAGCUUGCUGGGAGGUUGGUGCACCAGCAGAUAGAAUAGAAUGUUUCUCCUGGCCCUUGAAUUCAGUAUGUUUUCUUAGAAAUAAGACUAAAACCUAAUGCUAUAGAAAAUGCCAUGAGUAUUUGCAUAUCCUACAAAGAAUAU
rnacentral:lncRNA from 1 species